AGAUUGAACGCUGGCGGCAGGCCUAACACAUGCAAGUCGAGCGGUAGAGAGGUGCUUGCACCUCUUGAGAGCGGCGGACGGGUGAGUAAUGCCUAGGAAUCUGCCUAGUGGUGGGGGAUAACGUUCGGAAACGGACGCUAAUACCGCAUACGUCCUACGGGAGAAAGCGGGGGACCUUCGGGCCUCGCGCCAUUAGAUGAGCCUAGGUCGGAUUAGCUAGUUGGUGAGGUAAUGGCUCACCAAGGCGAACGAUCCGUAACUGGUACUGAGAGGAUGAUCAGUCACACUGGAACUGAGACACGGUCCAGACUCCGUACGGGAGGACAGCAGGUAGGGAAUAGUUAGGAACAAGUGGGACGAAAGCCUGGAUCCAGCCAUGCCGCGUGUGAGAAGAAGGUCUUGGAUUGUAAAGCUAACGUUUAAGUGGAGGUAAGGUUGUUAAACGUUAAAUUACGUUAGACUAACGUUUGACGUUACCGACAAGAUAAGCCUACGACUAACUUCGACG
rnacentral:rRNA from 1 species